rfam:Pseudogymnoascus pannorum VKM F-4246 contig_408, whole genome shotgun sequence.
AGAUACAAUGAUGAUACACAUUUUACUUAUUUUCUGGUACCUCUUAUGUCAGGCGCCCUCACAGGCCCGAUGAUCUUAACGGACUAUCUGAUC